UACAGAGGUCUCAAGCGUUGUUCGGAUUCAUUGGGCGUAAAGGGUGCGUAGGUGGCGCCAUAAGUCAGGUGUGAAAUCUCGGGGCUUAACUCCGAAACUGCAUUUGAUACUGUGGUGCUUGAGGACUGGAGAGGAGACUGGAAUUCACGGUGUAGCAGUGAAAUGCGUAGAUAUCGGAAGGAACACCUGUGGCGAAAGCGGCUCACUGGACCAUAACUGACGCUGAGGCGCGAAAGCUAGGGGAGCAAACAGG
rnacentral:rRNA from 1 species